rnacentral:rRNA from 1 species
GUGGGGAAUUUUGGACAAUGGGCGCAAGCCUGAUCCAGCAAUGCCGCGUGCAGGACGAAGGCCUUCGGGUUGUAAACUGCUUUUGUACAGAACGAAAAGCCUUGGGUGAAUACCCUGAGGACAUGACGGUACUGUAAGAAUAAGCACCGACUAACUACGUGCCAGCAGCCGCGGUAAUACGUAGGGUGCGAGCGUUAAUCGGAAUUACUGGGCGUAAAGCGUGCGCAGGCGGUUUUGUAAGACAGAGGUGAAAUCCCCGGGCUCAACCUGGGAACUGCCUUUGGGACUGCAAGGCUGGAGUGCGGCAGAGGGGGAUGGAAUUCCGCGUGUAGCAGUGAAAUGCGUAGAUAUGCGGAGGAACACCGAUGGCGAAGGCAAUCCCCUGGGCCUGCACUGACGCUCAUGCACGAAAGCGUGGGGAGCAAACAGGAUUAGAAACCCGUGUAGUCC